rnacentral:rRNA from 1 species
UACAUGCAAGUCGAACGGUAACAAUAGGAAAAGCUUGCUUUCCUGAUGACGAGUGGCGGACGGGUGGAGUAAAGUUUGGGAAGCUACCUGAUAGAGGGGGACGAACAGUUGGAAACGACUGCUAAUACCGCAUACAGCCUGAGGGUGAAAGCAGCAAUGCGCUAUCAGAUGCGCCCAAAUGGGAUUAGCUAGUAGGUGAGGUAAAGGCUCACCUAGGCGACGAUCUCUAGCUGGUCUGAGAGGAUGAUCAGCCACAUUGGGACUGAGACACGGCCCAGACUCCUACGGGAGGCAGCAGUAGGGAAUAUUGCACAAUGGAGGAAACUCUGAAUGCAGCCAUGCCGCGUGUGUGAAGAAGGCCUUCGGGUUGUAAAGCACUUUCGGAGGGGAGGAGAAUGACGUUACCCUCAGAAGAAGCACCGGCUAACUCCGUGCCAGCCGCCGC